UAUCUACUCCCUCCGUCCCAAAAUAAUUGACUUAAAAGUGACUUUGUUUUAUACUAAAGUUAGUACAAAACUGAGUCAUUUUCAAGUCACUUAUUUUGGGACGGAGGGAGUAAUAU
rfam:Hordeum vulgare subsp. vulgare, WGS project CAJW01000000 data, contig: morex_contig_44880